UUACGGGAGGCAGCAGUGAGGAAUAUUGGUCAAUGGGGGCAACCCUGAACCAGCCAUGCCGCGUGAAGGAAGAAGGUUCUAAGAAUUGUAAACUUCUUUUGUACGGGGGUAAUUAUAUCUACGUGUAGGUAUUUGAAAGUACUGUACGAAUAAGCAUCGGCUAACUCCGUGCCAGCAGCCGCGGUAAUACGGAGGAUGCAAGCGUUAUCCGGAUUUAUUGGGUUUAAAGGGUGCGUAGGCGGACCUAUAAGUCAGCGGUGAAAGACUGUCGCUCAACGAUAGCAUUGCCGUUGAUACUGUAGAUCUUGAGUACAUUUGAGGUGGGCGGAAUGUGUAGUGUAGCGGUGAAAUGCUUAGAUAUUACACAGAACACCAAUUGCGAAGGCAGCUCACUAAACUGUAACUGACGCUGAGGCACGAAAGCGUGGGGAUCAAACAGGAUUAGAUACCCUGGU
rnacentral:rRNA from 1 species